rnacentral:tRNA from 1 species
GCCGCUUUAGCUCAUCUGGUAGAGCAACUGACUUGUAAUCAGUAGGUCCCGGGUUCGAAGCCUGGUGGCGGCACCA